UAAAGGUUGAUCCUGAAGUAUAGAGGGUGAAUUCUGCCCAAUGGUUGUAUAGUGAAACUGAGGACUAACGUCUAAAGCGAAACCCAACUGAAUGGCCGCGGUAACUCUGACCGUGAUAAUGUAGCACAAUAAAUAGCCAAUUAAUUGUUGGCGGGUAUGAAUGGAACCACGAGGGUCUUACUGUCUCAAGAGGAAAGCCGAUGAAAUUAUAAUUGUAGUGAAGAUACUACAUAAACAUUGUAAGACGAAAAGACCCUAUCGAGCUUUACUGGAUACCGAUAGCGUUAAUUUAGAAUGAUCGAUACUAAGUAUCCUAAUUCUAAGUUAAUAAUUUUUGUUGGUAGGACAGUUUAGUUGGGGCGACUACCUUUGAAUAAGAAACGAAGGCGAGCUUAUGGUAUUAUUUAAAAUCUCAUUAGCCUCACAGUGAGGGGGACACCCCUAGCUGGCACACCCCAAAAGGACAUUUGUCCCCACGUAAGGGAUGUGGGCGAUAGUGACCCGAUAUGAUUAUCCAAAAUAAAUAUCGAAAGCGGAUAAAAGCUACCGUAGGGAUAACAGCGUAAUAUUGUCGGAGAGUUCUUAUCGAGGACAGUGUUUGCGACCUCGAUGUUGAAUUGCGGUGCCCUGGUGCUGUAGAAGGUACCUUAGGUUGGUCUGUUCGACCAUG
rnacentral:rRNA from 1 species